UACGGAAGGUAGCAGGGGGGAAUAUUGCACAAUGGGCGCAAGCCUGAUGCAGCCAUGCCGCGUGUAUGAAGAAGGCCUUCGGGUUGUAAAGUACUUUCAGUCGUGAGGAAGGUGUUAAGGUUAAUAACCUUAGCAAUUGACGUUAGCGACAGAAGAAGCACCGGCUAACUCCGUGCCAGCAGCCGCGGUAAUACGGAGGGUGCGAGCGUUAAUCGGAAUUACUGGGCGUAAAGGGCACGCAGGCGGUUAAUUAAGUUGGAUGUGAAAUCCCCGGGCUUAACCUGGGAAUGGCAUUCAAGACUGGUUAGCUAGAGUCUUGUAGAGGGGGUAGAAUUCCAUGUGUAGCGGUGAAAUGCGUAGAGAUGUGGAGGAAUACCGGUGGCGAAGGCGGCCCCUGGACAAAGACUGACGCUCAUGUGCGAAAGCGUGGGGAGCAAACAGGGAUUAGAUACC
rnacentral:rRNA from 1 species